GGUUGUGGCUCAGAGGUAGAGCGCUAGCCUACCAUGCUUGAGGCACUGAGUUUGAUCUCCAGCACCA
rnacentral:tRNA from 1 species